AGUGAACGCUGGCGGUAGGCCUAACACAUGCAAGUCGAACGGCAGCACAGUAAGAGCUUGCUCUUACGGGUGGCGAGUGGCGGACGGGUGAGGAAUACAUCGGAAUCUACUUUUUCGUGGGGGAUAACGUAGGGAAACUUACGCUAAUACCGCAUACGACCUACGGGUGAAAGCAGGGGAUCUUCGGACCUUGCGCGAUUGAAUGAGCCGAUGUCGGAUUAGCUAGUUGGCGGGGUAAAGGCUCACCAAGGCGACGAUCCGUAGCUGGUCUGAGAGGAUGAUCAGCCACACUGGAACUGAGACACGGUCCAGACUCCUACGGGAGGCAGCAGUGGGGGAUAUUGGACAAUGGGCGCAAGCCUGAUCCAGCCAUACCGCGUGGGUGAAGAAGGCCUUCGGGUUGUAAAGCCCUUUUGUUGGGAAAGAAAAGCAGCAGGUUAAUACCCCGCUGUUCUGACGGUACCCAAAGAAUAAGCACCGGCUAACUUCGUG
rnacentral:rRNA from 1 species